CCUACGGGUGGCAGCAGUGGGGAAUAUUGGACAAUGGGCGAAAGCCUGAUCCAGCCAUGCCGCGUGUGUGAAGAAGGCCUUCGGGUUGUAAAGCACUUUCAUUGGGGAAGAAAGCCUUGGGGCUAAUACCCUCGAGGAAGGACAUCACCCACAGAAGAAGCACCGGCUAACUCCGUGCCAGCAGCCGCGGUAAUACGGAGGGUGCGAGCGUUAAUCGGAAUUACUGGGCGUAAAGCGCGCGUAGGCGGUCUGAUAAGCCGGUUGUGAAAGCCCCGGGCUCAACCUGGGAACGGCAUCCGGAACUGUCAGGCUAGAGUGCAGGAGAGGAAGGUAGAAUUCCCGGUGUAGCGGUGAAAUGCGUAGAGAUCGGGAGGAAUACCAGUGGCGAAGGCGGCCUUCUGGACUGACACUGACGCUGAGGUGCGAAAGCGUGGGUAGCAAACAGGAUUAGAUACCCUAGUAGUC
rnacentral:rRNA from 1 species